rnacentral:rRNA from 1 species
UACGAGGGGGGCGAGCGUUGUUCGGAAUUAUUGGGCGUAAAGGGUGCGUAGGCGGUUUGGCAAGUCUUGUGUGAAAUCUCCAGGCUCAACUUGGAGUCUGCACGAGAAACUGCCGGGCUUGAGUGUGGGAGAGGUGAGUGGAAUUCCUGGUGUAGCGGUGAAAUGCGUAGAUAUCAGGAGGAACACCUGUGGCGAAAGCGGCUCACUGGACCACAACUGACGCUGAUGCGCGAAAGCGUGGGGAGCAAACGGG